AUUGAACGCUGGCGGCAGGCCUAACACAUGCAAGUCGAGCGGCAGAAGGGAGCUUGCUCCUGGAUUCAGCGGCGGACGGGUGAGUGAUGCCUAUGAAUCUGCCUGUUAGUGGGGGAUAACGUCAGGGAAGGGGCGCUAAUACCGCAUACGCCCUGAGGGUGCAGGGGGGGGCUCUUCGGCUCUCACGCUGUCGGAUUAGCCUAGGUCGGAUUAGCUAGUUGGUGGGGUAAAGGCCCACCAAGGCGACGAUCCGUAACUGGUCUGAGAGGAUGAUCAGUCACACUGGAACUGAGACACGGUCCAGACUCCUACGGGAGGCAGCAGUGGGGAAUAUUGGACAAUGGGCGAAAGCCUGAUCCAGCCAUGCCGCGUGUGUGAAGAAGGUCUUCGGAUUGUAAAGCACUUUUAGUUGGGAGGAAGGGCAGUAAGUUAAUACCUUGCUGUUUUGACGUUACCAAAAGAAUAAGCACCGGCUAACUUCGUG
rnacentral:rRNA from 1 species